AGCACAAAUGAUGAAUACUAGGGACUUAAUACUGAAGUCUGAUGUGACUUUGAUAUAAACUGAUGUGC
ensembl:snoRNA SNORD82 Small nucleolar RNA SNORD82